rnacentral:tRNA from 1 species
GCGGAAGUGGCUCAGUGGUAGAGCAGCACCUUGCCAAGGUGCGGGUCGCGAGUUCGAAUCUCGUCUUCCGCUCCA